rnacentral:lncRNA from 1 species
GGUUGAGAAGACUCGCCAACUCUUCUUCUAUUUCUCUCCUGCCAAAGAGCAUGAGCCACUGAUUGAAAACAAUAUCUCAAUAGAAAAGUCUUAACUCUUCCAUUUGGAUCAUUCACUACACCUUGAAUCACACUAUUCCAUUGAUAAGACCUCCUAUCUCCCGCAAUAUCCUUAAUGAUCCCAUACCAGACUUCUUUUGAAUAAGAGCACUCAAAAAAUUUGUGAUCUCUAGUUUCAGUCACUAUUUUGCAUAGCCAACAAGUAGAUAUAGCCUGAGGAUUCCAUCUCAAUACUCUGUCCCCCGUUGCUGAUCUAUUAUGAAUAGCUAUCCAAGCUAGAAAAGAAAACUUUGGAGUGGCACCCGGAAACCAAAUUCCCUUGCUCCAUGGAACUUUCUGCGACUGCUCCCUGAUAAGAUUCCAAGUUUGAGUUGUGCUGAAAACUUCUUUGACAUCCCCAUUCUCCUACU